CAAGUCGAACGAGAGAGAAGGAGCUUGCUUCUUCGAUCGAGUGGCGAACGGGUGAGUAACGCGUGAGGAACCUGCCUCAAAGAGGGGGACAACAGUUGGAAACGACUGCUAAUACCGCAUAAGCCCACGGGUCGGCAUCGAUCUGAGGGAAAAGGAGCAAUCCGCUUUGAGAUGGCCUCGCGUCCGAUUAGCUAGUUGGUGAGGUAACGGCCCACCAAGGCGACAAUCGGUAGCCGGACUGAGAGGUUGAACGGCCACAUUGGGACUGAGACACGGCCCAGACUCCUACGGGAGGCAGCAGUGGGGAAUAUUGCACAAUGGGGGAAACCCUGAUGCAGCGACGCCGCGUGGAGGAAGAAGGUCUUCGGAUUGUAAACUCCUGUUGUUGAGGAAGAUAAUGACGGUACUCAACAAGGAAGUGACGGCUAACUACGUGCCAGCAGCCGCGGUAAAACGUAGGUCACAAGCGUUGUCCGGAAUUACUGGGUGUAAAGGGAGCGCAGGCGGGAAGACAAGUUGGAAGUGAAAUCUAUGGGCUCAACCCAUAAACUGCUUUCAAAACUGUUUUUCUUGAGUAGUGCAGAGGUAGGCGGAAUUCCCGGUGUAGCGGUGGAAUGCGUAGAUAUCGGGAGGAACACCAGUGGCGAAGGCGGCCUACUGGGCACCAACUGACGCUGAGGCUCGAAAGUGUGGGUAGCAAACAGGAUUAGAUACCCUGGUAGUCCACACCGUAAACGAUGAUUACUAGGUGUUGGAGGAUUGACCCCUUCAGUGCCGCAGUUAACACAAUAAGUAAUCCACCUGGGGAGUACGACCGCAAGGUUGAAACUCAA
rnacentral:rRNA from 1 species